GCCGACAAACAAUCGUUCUGACGUGAUGAAUCCCCCUCAGCGGUGGGGCUGGUCUUCAUACCAUGCAAGUCGCGAAUAGCGAAUGCGUUUCUGACUGACCGUCAGGAACACCGGGAGGCACCCGGCAUCACGGUUUCCACAUCCUGAAUGACUCAAUUCUCCUGUUGGGUCUUUAUCUUU
rnacentral:sRNA from 1 species